rnacentral:rRNA from 1 species
GACGAACGCUGGCGGCGUGCUUAACACAUGCAAGUCGAACGGAAAGGCCCUGCUUUUGUGGGGUGCUCGAGUGGCGAACGGGUGAGUAACACGUGAGUAACCUGCCCUUGACUUUGGGAUAACUUCAGGAAACUGGGGCUAAUGCCGGAUAGGAGCUCCUGCUGCAUGGUGGGGGUUGGAAAGUUUCGGCGGUUGGGGAUGGACUCGCGGCUUAUCAGCUUGUUGGUGGGGUAGUGGCUUACCAAGGCUUUGACGGGUAGCCGGCCUGAGAGGGUGACCGGCCACAUUGGGACUGAGAUACGGCCCAGAGUCCUACGGGAGGCAGCAGUGGGGAAUAUUGCACAAUGGGCGGAAGCCUGAUGCAGCAACGCCGCGUGCGGGAUGACGGCCUUCGGGUUGUAAACCGCUUUCGCCUGUGACGAAGCGUGAGUGACGGUAAUGGGUAAAGAAGCACCGGCUAACUACGUG